rnacentral:rRNA from 1 species
AUGUGCAGCUCUGCUUCCUGGAACUCCUCACCUCCUGGUGUGCUCUUCAUCAGGCAGCAGGGGAAGAAGAAGCCACAUGUCUCAAUGACUCUCAGGAGGAAGAGGUUAAGGCUGAUCAGGAGGAGGAGGAGGAGGGAGCUGAGGAGGGCUGCUGGAGGGGCGGAGAUGGCGAUGCUGAACCUGAGGCUCCACCUGGAGAACCGGCGCAUCCUGGCGGAGAACGAGAGGCUCCGGGAGAGGGCCGGCGCGCUCCACCGCGAGAACCUCGCGCUGCGUGCCAACCUCUGCAAGGCGGCGCCACCGCCGGCAGAGGCUGCCCCUGGCUGCUGA